rnacentral:rRNA from 1 species
UACAGCCUUCAUCGCUUAUGUUGUUAGUACUUUUGGGAUGUACAUUUCCGUAUAGUAGGUCAACAUCGAUUUUGAUCGUCAUAAAAUGAUCGGGGGAAUGCGGUUUCUAUCUCAUAUCGGAGUGUUAUAGCCCUUGGUAGAUGUGACGAUUGGGAUCGAGGAUUGCAACGAAUACCCUUUGAGCUAUCCGUCUGUCCUCUGAAAGUCGCUUGGGUGUUGAAAGCGUGCUUAUAGUCAUUCGAGUUGGCGGUCAACAGGUCAGGUUAGAACGUGAUUAUAUUCGUUAAGGAUGUUGACGUAA